rnacentral:rRNA from 1 species
CACGUAGGGUGCGAGCGUUGUCCGGAAUUAUUGGGCGUAAAGAGCUCGUAGGCGGUGUGUCGCGUCGGCCGUGAAAACCUGUGGCUUAACUAUGGGCUUGCGGUCGAUACGGGCAUCACUGGAGUUCGGCAGGGGAGACUGGAAUUCCUGGUGUAGCGGUGAAAUGCGCAGAUAUCAGGAGGAACACCGGUGGCGAAGGCGGGUCUCUGGGCCGAUACUGACGCUCAUGUGCGAAAGCGUGGGGAGCAAACAGG